AUUCCAAACGCCCUCACUCGUACCGUCCUAACCUUCUCACCCUCUCGAUCUAAAUGCAGUGGCUCAAACGAUGAAAUAAGAGUUUUAGCGGCAACGGCGACGGCGCACUCGCGCUUUCGGUAAUCGACUUUGCACUCUGAUGUUCUUAUUGUGGAAUCCUCGCCUUGGUUCUAUGUGCAGGUUAUAUAUCAGAAUUGCGAUUUGUGCGAAUAGUGAAAGAGCGAUGGAAAACGACGACGAAAAAAAAUCCGCGACGCCACUAUGUUUUGCUGUAGCAUUGGGAUUCUCGGAAAGGUGAAGAAACGGUUGAGUCGAAGAAGAAGAGGAGGAGGAAGAGAAAUUCGUCACGGUUGAAAGAAAAUGGAAGAAUGAGGAAUUAGAAAUUUUGGGGAAGAGAUUCCAGAAGAGAGGGGGAGAAGAGCCAAAGCUUCUGCAAAGAAAUUCACCCCUGAAAUUCACUGUUAAUCCUGCAUAUAUACUUUGAAGAUUGAGUUUAGAUGAAUUUAUGCUUCUGCGUUUUGGAUUUUUUUGGAGUUGUUUGGUUUGAUUCGCGUUUUGUAACAGCUAGCUUGUGUUGUAGCUUUCGUGUACACUGUUCACGCUGUUUCUCCAAUUCCAAUUGCUGUUUUCACUUGGCUUAUACUGCUGCAAGUUCUGUGUUUCGAUUCGUUGCCCUUGCGUUUUGUUGCUUUGGAUGAGCAUUUAGCUUAUUGUGUAUUGUCGUUUAUGCAAGCUUUUGAAUUGCCA